AUUUCAUGAUUUGGGCAUUGAACUAGCAGUUCUUUAAAUCUUGCCCAUGCCUCAUGAAUCCGUUCACCUUCCAAUUGUUCGAAGGUUAGAAUGCGAUCUCUGAACAU
rfam:Solanum tuberosum cultivar DM 1-3 516 R44 scf00089_109, whole genome shotgun sequence.